ACACACUGUGCUUGCACACCGUGUUUUCUUGAGUCGCGAACGGGUGAGUAACGCGUAGGUAACCUGCCUAUUAGCGGGGGAUAACUAUUGGAAACGAUAGCUAAUACCGCAUAAUAUUAAUUAUUGCAUGAUAAUUGAUUGAAAGAUGCAAGCGCAUCACUAGUAGAUGGACCUGCGUUGUAUUAGCUAGUUGGUAAGGUAAGAGCUUACCAAGGCGACGAUACAUAGCCGACCUGAGAGGGUGAUCGGCCACACUGGGACUGAGACACGGCCCAGACUCCUACGGGAGGCAGCAGUAGGGAAUCUUCGGCAAUGGACGAAAGUCUGACCGAGCAACGCCGCGUGAGUGAAGAAGGUUUUCGGAUCGUAAAGCUCUGUUGUAAGUCAAGAACGUGUGUGAGAGUGGAAAGUUCACACAGUGACGGUAGCUUACCAGAAAGGGACGGCUAACUACGUGCCAGCAGCCGCGGUAAUACGUAGGUCCCGAGCGUUGUCCGGAUUUAUUGGGCGUAAAGGGAGCGCAGGCGGUCAGGAAAGUCUGGAGUAAAAGGCUAUGGCUCAACCAUAGUGUGCUCUGGAAACUGUCUGACUUGAGUGCAGAAGGGGAGAGUGGAAUUCCAUGUGUAGCGGUGAAAUGCGUAGAUAUAUGGAGGAACACCAGUGGCGAAAGCGGCUCUCUGGUCUGUCACUGACGCUGAGGCUCGAAAGCGUGGGUAGCGAACAGGAUUAGAUACCCUGGUAGUCCACGCCGUAAACGAUGAGUGCUAGGUGUUAGGCCCUUUCCGGGGCUUAGUGCCGGAGCUAACGCAAUAAGCACUCCGCCUGGGGAGUACGACCGCAAGGUUGAAACUCAAAGGAAUUGACGGGGGCCCGCACAAGCGGUGGAGCAUGUGGUUUAAUUCGAAGCAACGCGAAGAACCUUACCAGGUCUUGACAUCCCGAUGCUNUUCUUAGAGAUAGGAAGUUAC
rnacentral:rRNA from 2 species